rnacentral:misc_RNA from 1 species
UCCGGUUUGUCACCGGCAGUCUCCUUAGAGUUCCCGACAUUACUCGCUGGCAACUAAUGACAAGGGUUGCGCUCGUUGCGGGACUUAACCCAACAUCUCACGACACGAGCUGACGACAGCCAUGCAGCACCUGUGUUAUGGCUCUCUUUCGAGCACGCCUCGAUCUCUCGUGGCUUCCAUACAUGUCAAGGGUAGGUAAGGUUUUUCGCGUUGCAUCGAAUUAAUCCACAUCAUCCACCGCUUGUGCGGGUCCCCGUCAAUUCCUUUGAGUUUUAACCUUGCGGCCGUACUCCCCAGGCGGUCAACUUCACGCGUUAGCUUCGUUACUAAGGGAGUUAAUCCCCCAACAACCAGUUGACAUCGUUUAGGGCGUGGACUAC